AUUGAACGCUGGCGGCAGGCCUAACACAUGCAAGUCGGACGGUAGCACAGAGAGCUUGCUCUCGGGUGACGAGUGGCGGACGGGUGAGUAAUGUCUGGGGAUCUGCCCGAUAGAGGGGGAUAACCACUGGAAACGGUGGCUAAUACCGCAUAACGUCGCAAGACCAAAGAGGGGGACCUUCGGGCCUCUCACUAUCGGAUGAACCCAGAUGGGAUUAGCUAGUAGGCGGGGUAAUGGCCCACCGAGGCGACGAUCCCUAGCUGGUCUGAGAGGAUGACCAGCCACACUGGAACUGAGACACGGGCCAGACUCCUACGGGAGGCAGCAGUGGGGAAUAUUGCACAAUGGGCGCAAGCCUGAUGCAGCCAUGCCGCGUGUAUGAAGAAGGCCUUCGGGUUGUAAAGUACUUUCAGCGGGGAGGAAGGCGGUGCGGUUAAUAACCGCGCCGAUUGACGUUACCCGCAGAAGAAGCACCGGCUAACUCCGUGCCAGCCGCCGCAGUAA
rnacentral:rRNA from 1 species